AGAAACAACUAUCUGAGAAAUCUAGGUUAUUUCAAAAUGAUUCAGAAGUUCUUGUCAUGUCACUCAGAAUGUACAUAACUCAGUAGUUCUGGAAGAAGCUGGCAUCCCAGAGAACCGUCUUACGUUGAUUUGGGUUGGACAUGUGAGCUUUGCAGACAUGCAGUACAAUGAACCCCAUAGAAAGGGGUCCUUGACCAGGAAGUUUACAGACCUCAUUCAACACGUGAAGUGUAUCUCAACACAGUAGAAUAUAGACAAUGGCUCAAUAGCUUCAGUGCCAUAUCAGCAGACCACAGUGGCCAACCUGGGUUUCUUGCAGACUCUAAGAAGCUCCUCGAAGCUGGAGCCUUGAUCCAUCAGCUGUCAAUUACUUUGUUCUCCUGAGUACCUGGCGGAUAUUCCAAAGCAUCACCAGGUUGAUCAAAGAGGAGAAUUAUUUUACACCAGGGAAGUAUUUUCCACUGAGAAAAUCAGACCACUUCAUGUUUGGAGGAAAGGGAAUUAGAGGGAGAGGCAUAUCAACCUUCAAAUGCUGGUAUGGUUUUUA
rnacentral:lncRNA from 9 species